rnacentral:rRNA from 1 species
AUUGAACGCUGGCGGCAUGCCUUACACAUGCAAGUCGAACGGUAACAGGUCUUCGGAUGCUGACGAGUGGCGAACGGGUGAGUAAUAUAUCGGAACGUGCCCAGUUGUGGGGGAUAACUACUCGAAAGAGUGGCUAAUACCGCAUACGACCUGAGGGUGAAAGCGGGGGAUCGCAAGACCUCGCGCAAUUGGAGCGGCCGAUAUCAGAUUAGGUAGUUGGUGGGGUAAAGGCCCACCAAGCCGACGAUCUGUAGCUGGUCUGAGAGGACGACCAGCCACACUGGGACUGAGACACGGCCCAGACUCCUACGGGAGGCAGCAGUGGGGAAUUUUGGACAAUGGACGCAAGUCUGAUCCAGCCAUGCCGCGUGCGGGAAGAAGGCCUUCGGGUUGUAAACCGCUUUUGUCAGGGAAGAAAAGGGUGUUUCUAAUACAGACGCCUCAUGACGGUACCUGAAGAAUAAGCACCGGCUAACUACGUG